rnacentral:miRNA from 1 species
CUUCCAGCCGGCGAGGUACAUGUACCUUGCCAGCUGGAAGGAUUUCCUUCCAGUCGACGAGGUACAUGUACCUUGCCGGCUGGAAG